rnacentral:lncRNA from 1 species
GUCUCCACUCUUCCCAAACUUUAUAUCAUUUGAAUUUAUAGCUUCCACUUUUUUCCCUUGUUCUGAGAGUUCCAGUAUAUUUUUAGAUAUAACAUCUCAAAUUAUCAUAUAAUCAACUAUAAUUCAUCGAAAAUAUUGGUUCAAAUGAAUCUUGAUCUGGUAUUGUGGCCACAAUAUAUAGACUUGCAGAGAGCUAAAUGAUACUUUAUAUCUCAAAUUAUCUUAUAGUUAUUUAUGUCAUCAAAAAUUAUUGCUCCCUGUGAAUAUUGAUCUGGUGGCCUAAAUAUGUAGACCUGCAGGGAGCAGAAUGGUAGUUUAUUUGUGAGUUGACUACUGAAGCAGAUCUAACACUUCUCUUCAAUUGUUUUUGCAGUCUAUUGUAGAUAGUGUGCAUGUUACAAGCAACGAAAGGGUUAGUUCACCAUGGUGAAAAACUAUUCUUCGUUUUAAGUUAUGGUGUAUCGGGAUUCUAAAACUUGUUCAUUUUGUGCUGCAGAAGGAAAUUCAGAUUAGACCUUGCUUGUGGAAUGGAAAUCAACGUCCGUGUUACUUGUUUGCUAGGAAAUUCUUGCCUGAAACUCUUAAUAAUUUGAUGGCCCUUUUCUCCAACUAUACUUCUAUAUGAGUGGGGUUAUAGCUUCAGUGUUGAUUCUUUGGUCGAUUCAAGAGUUGCGCCAUUUCUCGUGGAGCUUCUUCUGCUGUUGUAAAGAGCAUUGUUUUAUAUAGAAUUGAGUGCUCCCCAAUAUGACUUCACUUUUAGUACUAAUGCAAUUGGAAGAACAUUGGAGUAUACUCCAAGCCGAGCUAAAGAUAAAGAACUUUGCUGCCAGUGUUGUUGAGGAUGAUUUUGGGUCUAAUUUCCCCCUCAAUUUUGUGGCUGUUUAAGUUUAUACCCCAAAAGGAAGGGAAAAAAAUAAAAAAAAAAUGGUGGGAACAGGGGACUGACUGCAGCGCUGUAUGGUGGGUAAAAUCUUUGAAGAACUUGGCAGAAACAAUUUUUUUUUUCUUUUUCAUUUUUAUUGUGAAAAUAAUUUUUAAUUUCCUUUUUUUUUUCUUUGGAGUAGAAUUCCUGACGGUCGAAUUAUAGUAUUUGUAAAAAAUGUUUUACAUGUUUAUGACAUUUUGGAAGUCUUAAUUUGACUCCAAUUCUAGCAUGUUUGGUGCAGAGAAUUAUUGAAUGGAACUAAAUAGUAUUAAAUAUUAAUAAAGAGUGGCGUUACAUCUUUUAAGUCGCAAUAAAUACGCAUAACUGCAAUUUUAAUGCAAAACUGAAGUUUAUAAGGCAAGAAGAUGAGCCAUGAAAGGCAGCGUACACCAAGAAAACAAAAUUGAUGGACAUUCUCACUUUCAUUACAGCUGCAAUGCUCCUGUCUUCUUCCUCAGCCAUCCCGCUAGCUUCUUCCCCAGCCAUACCACCAGCUUCUUCCCCAGCCAUCCCAACUGCUGGUCGAGAUGAAACAACACGACCUCUCAUCGCAUCUUGUGUAAUGCUCAUCUUCGAUCCGCCGCCAGAGCCUCAACCAAAGAUGAAGAUUCUUCGGUGUAGAGACCGUUUGCGUGCAAUUGCCCAUAUCUCCAAAAUAACUGGGAGAUUAUCACCCGCGUACGUUGAAGCCCUCGAACAAGUCCCAAAAUUCAAGAAGAAUCCAAGUCUGUUGCGUAAUUAUCUUCGCAGUCUUGUCUGAAUAAGCUAAUGUCACUGUAGUUAUGAGGGUAAGAAUCAAAACAAACUCAAAUAUGAAUAAGAAUGGUAGUUUACUUUUGAAAUGAUACAUUUUCAGAUAUGCACCAUACUACAGUUUCUGUUACCUUUCGAACAAAACUGUAGAAACAUACGUAUUUGGAUGCAGUACUAGACACUAUAAAUGAUUAUUUUGUUUCUUUUUUCUUCUUUAAUACUGUCGAGUUUAACUGAAAGUGUUAAAUCCUUUUCUUUUCUGCUGGGGGCGGCAGGCAAGGAACAAAUAUAUCUUUUCCGUGAAUUUAUUGGCUGAAAGUGUUAAAUCCUUGUCUUUUCUGCUGGGGACGGCAGGCAAGGAACAAAUAUAUCUUUUCCGUGAAUUUAUUGGCUAUAUGCAAGUAAAGGGUCCCAAUAUCUAAAUCCAAAAGAUAGAAAUAAUCUGAAGAAUUAGCUAAAUUUUAUCUAAGAAUUAAUCUGAAAAGAGUGAGUUGUGGUUAAUCUUUCGGUCUUCUCAAUAAGUUAUAUAAAUCGUUCAUCUUAAUGGUGUCAAAAUCUUUAAUGGGUUGAGAUUUAGAAUGCCAACCCCUAAAUUUUAAAGAUUUUAGAUUUAUAUAAAACCCUAUCAAAAGCUAAAUGCGAUAAUUUUAUUAGUUACUACGAGGAUUCAAAUGACAAUGGAACUACACAUUUUUAGCAGAUGUUCAUUUAAGACAAAAAUAAUAAUAAUAAUAAUAAUAAUUAUUAUUAUUAUUAUUAUUAUUAUUAUUAUUAAAAUAAAACUAAUUAUCAAUUUAUAAAAAUCUUAAAACAUGUAACAUACGCAUAUUUAUGAAACAUAUUUGGUAUAUUAGAUUGGGCAUGACAAAAUCAGAAAUUAUCGUACACCUUUUUUCCUUUAUCCCGUUUAGUUUGUUCAAUCCAACAUACCAAACAAGUCCUUGUAGUGCUGCUAUUACCAAAAAAUUAUCUAAUUAAUGUAUUUUCAUAUUUUACGUCCACAAUCACUGUACAAUGUCCAUAAAGAGCAAGUUUCAGGAGAGUACCUUCUUCAUUGAUUGCCAUUUAAGACAAUAAAAUAAUAAUAAAUAAAUAAAUAAAUAAUAAUAAUAAUAAUAAAAUUAUUAUUAUUAUUAUUAUUAUUAUUAUUAAAAAUAAAACUAAUUAUCAAUUUAUAAAAAUCUUAAAACAUGUAACGCACACAUAUUUAUGAAACAUAUUUGGUAUAUUAAAUUGGGCAUGACAACAUCAGAAAUUAUCGUACACCUUUCUUCCUUUAUCCCGUUUAGUUUGUUCAAUCCAACAUACCAAACAAGUCCUUGUAGUGCUGCUAUUACCAAAAAAUUAUCUAAUUAAUGUAUUUUCAUAUUUUACGUCCACAAUCACUGUACAAUGUCCAUAAAGAGCAAGUUUCAGGAGAGUACCUUCUUCAUUGAUUGCCGAAUAAAUCUCAAAACAUAUUUAUUUUGAUGGAAUUUACAAACCAUAUGGCUAUGAUCGUAGCAUAAUGAACCUGCACGUGAAAAAUGGGGAAAAAAUGUCAGAUUAGCUAAAUAUUCAUUCAAAUGUAAGAAACAGAAAAUACAAGGCCGAUUGCAUGAUCAGGUCAUCCGCCAGUUUCUCACAUACGUCCUAUUGUUGCAAGCGCAAAACCAAUUUAACCUAAAUCAUAUGAUUCAUAUACAAUCAAUAUUUGCAUCUAUCAUAUGGAGAAAGAAGUUCUUACAGACGACGGAUUGCUACUGCAGUUCUUUGACCAGCCAUCUGACAAUAAGUCUCAAAGCCAACCGCUAACCUGGCCUGUAGUGUUGUUCACUGAGAUUUAUGUUUGUGAAUGACAGAAUCAACCAGUCAAAACUAUAAUAUUUUAAGUCACUUUAUCCCGCACUACAUGUUAGGCUCAAAAUCAAAUAGCAUGAUUUUUCAAAAGAAAUUAUUCAGAUUUGAAGUUAUUAAUAUGUGGGUUGAUGCUUAUAAUCAAUCUUGAAAUGUAAUGUUCCUUGUGUAUUCAUGUUUACUGUAACAUCAUAUAAUGAAAAUUUAAUAUCAGAUAUGCAAAAUUAUGGUUGGAUCCUAAGUGGUUGGAUCAUAAGUGGUGUUGCUGUGCCUGGGAUUAACCAAGCAUUGACUCAGAUUAUAAAAUAAAGGGAUUUUUUUUUUUUUUGGAGACCAAAUCAAUUUAUUUUAUGCAUUUAAGUUUGGAAACAUGAACAUGUUCUUACGUUUACUUGACUCAUUGUAAGGUCGCUGAUUUUCCAUAAAAAAGUUUAUUAUUUUAAGUAUUUUUUAAUAUAUAAACCAGGCCUUGUUCACAUUAGAUUGUUUGUUUCAAAUUAUAAAAUUUUACUAUAGCUUCAGUAAUAUUCAUGUCAAGAAAUGGCUUUAGGUAACUCUCCGGGUUUAUAAUUAUUCGGGCAUUACAAAAUAUACACCUGUAAGGAUGUGGAUGAAAAAGUUUAUGCAUAUGUACACGCCCAUACGCAUUCUAGAUCAUUUGAUUAUUCAUAAAUAGCCUAAAGGAUAGACUAAUUAGUAAAAGAAUCAUCUCAGUGAUUUUAAGCCCACUAUUUGUCUAACAUUAUUCAAUGAAAAUGAAUUUGGAAUGGUGAAUUUUUGAAUAAUGUAUGAUUAAAAAAUAGGAAAAUAUUUUCGAUUUAUAUGCAAAACAUUUUAUUGUGUGAAUGUGUAGUUGAAAAUGAGUUUAAGAAAAAAUAAGAGUUUUGAAAUAAUGAUAGACAAACAAAGACUAAGUAGCAUGCAGCCAAUUUUAGCCCAUGUUUGGCAUAAAUUAGAAUAUAAUUUUAAUCCCAAAUUAAAGUCAACGAUUAAUUUUAAUUAUAUAUUUCAUAAGAUUUAUAAUUUUUCAACUUUUAUAAAAAUUUAUUAAAAAUCUGAUUUCAUAGUUGUUUUUAUUUUUUAUUUUUUUCCACCUAAUUUAACGUGCCAAAAAUAUGGGACAAAAUAAGUAUAGAGUUUUGGUAGAAAAUGAUAAAACCUGUUUAUGCAUGGGACCAAGUCGGCUUUAGCCCAACCGCGGAUGUCAAGUAGCUGGACUUCAAAGUACCAACGGCAUACGACAUGGACAUGACAACAUAUCAGUUUCCUGAAUGUAGGACUUGACAGAUUGAUUAAAAUUUUCGAACAGCUCUCCUCAAUUGAAGGUGCACAUAAUGUUACUGUAAAUAUAUAUAUUAAAGCUACAUUUUUAUGAUUUUCUAUUUUUAUGAAUUAAAACCUUUUUGGCUUUGGUUUCGAAUUGUGGGGUUGGAAUUUUUUGAACCAGAGGAAUCAAUAUUUAUUUUACCAAAUCCUUGACUUGUUUAGGACAUCUCCCUCCCAUGUCAGAAAUUAAAAUGAUUAAAAAAAUAUCAGAUGCACUAGGUGUUAUUGUAAACAAGUGCUAGAGAAGUGUCAAGUAAGUGUUUCAAAAAAUUAAAAAUGUAUAAUAAAAUAGGACACACCAUGUAGCCUAUGAGACGCUUGUCAUGGAGUGUACUGAGUGUCGAACACCAAAACUCCACCUUAGGAGGAUUCUAUGUGCCUCAGGUUAUCUUUAUUUAUCUGUGUAGACAUGUAUAUGGCUUUGAAUAAAAAUCUAUGUUUUGAAAUUUGGCUGAUAGAUGAAAUUCUCGUUGAAACCACUGUUGACAUCAGUAUAUUUUGAUUAAACAGCCAGGCAUGGAAUAUGGACGCAACUGCUAUUCUGAUGAACACUGCUUGCCAACAUUUUUCCAUGUGAGGAUUGUUUAUAUCUAAUUAUUUAUUGUAUAAUUUAGGACAUACUCACCCACCUCGGAUAAUUUAAAGGGAGUAUAUUUUCCUCAUUUCAGAUUCUUGAUCCGGCUGGAAUUGCAAAUUGGUCCGUCACACAUGUUGAUUGGUCUGAAGGGAAGUGGCACCCAAAAGCAUAUCGGUCACAGGAUGUUACCUUUGAGCUAAUGAGAAAUAUUACAGUGCGACUCCACUCUUCCCAAACUUUGUAUCAUUUGAAUUUAUAGCUUCCACUUUUUUCCCUUGUUCUGAGAGUUCCAGUAUAUUUUUAGUUAUAACAUCUCAAAUUAUCUUAUAAUUAACUAUAAUUCAUCGAAAAUAUUGGUUUAAAUGAAUCUUGAUCUGGUAUUGUGGCCUCAAUAUAUAGACUUGCAGAGAGCUAAAUGAUACUUUAUAUCUCAAAUUAUCUUAUAGUUAAUUAUGUCAUAAAAAUUAUUGCUCCCUGUGAAUAUUGAUCUGGUGGCCUAAAUAUGUAGACCUGCAGGGAGCAGAAUGGUAGUUUAUUUGUGAGUUGACUACUGAAGCAGAUCU